GUUCUUAGCUUGGGAGUUGGGAGUGCCUACAAAAAAAGGCUGGGCAUUCACAUGGGCUGUGAGUGGAUCCAACAACCCACAGUAGAUUCUUUUUCGGUUACUUUUAACCAGUUUGUCUGUUUAUUUUGUACUGUUUUCUUUCAUUUUCUCAAUGAAAACAAUUAAGCUCUGUUUAAUCUUUUUUCCAAUAUAUAUUUAUUCAUGAUAAUUGUUGGACCUUCUCCACUGGCUAAGUGUCAUGCAUGGCAUAUUAAAUUCUUUUAUUCAUCUUGCAAGGUAAUGUUCACAAAAUCAUUAAUUAU
rnacentral:lncRNA from 1 species